CCGGUGUCAGCGGAGAAUUUACUUAGAGAACUUGUAAUUGAUUAGCCACAGGUGGUCCCACCUGCUUAGCUUCUGUUUUCAGUACAGCUGCUCUUGGUAAGAUGUUUGACUCUUGUGAAAUUAGAUGAGAGAAACAAAGAAAAACAAAAGAUCUUGGCUACUUCUUCUGAUUCAUUUACUUCGAGGAUCUUUUAGAAACUAAAUCAAAUGUAGCUGGACUGCAGAGGCAGUCCAUCAGGACAGAGUCUACUUGCCUAAAGGCUAUGAGCAUUUUGUAAACAAAUUGCUACCUGGUUUUUUUUUUUUGUUUGUUUGUUUGCUUGUUUGUUUUUUGUCAAAAUGCUUACUAUGCACCCUGUCUUUGUAAGUAUGGCCAGUGAAGCAAAGACUGCAGAUCCCCUGUCUUUGGGGAGGGGCAUGUGAGAAAAAGCUGAGGCUGUGUGAUUGUUUCAUGAUGAUGUGUCUGGAACCGAACAAAUUUAGAGUACUUAGGAGGUCCUCUGAAGAAAAUUGAAUUAAAAAACAAACCUGCAAAACCACCGUCUGUAAGAUUGAAAUACACCAGAGUGCCUACUAUUUCAUCUGUCCAUUAGCAAGGAUCAAAAGGCAGUAAUGGUCCUGGUAAGGCUGUGCUUAAGACAAAUGCUCUCAGGCACUGCUGGUGUGAAUUGAUACAACCUUCCUGGGAAGAACUUUAUAACGACUCCGAGAUUCCCACACCUUUUCCCCCCAUGCUUCAUCUUUUAGCUAACUUUUUUGCCAAGCAUGGUUUGUAUACUGAGGAUUUUAGUGUGGCACUUUUUCUAACAGUGAAAAACUGGCAGUGUCAAAUGUAUAUUAAAUGGUUAAGUAAGCAACAGAAUAUCCAUGUAAUAGUGUAUUAUGCUGUCAUUAAGACUUACGAGUAUGAGGUAAUGUUAAAUAAAAUGCAAGAUAUGAAAUUAUACAUGGACUAUGAAUUUAACUAUGAGAAAGAAAACAUGCUAGGAAAAUACUGGAAGGCUAUUUGGGAAAAUAUCAAGUGAUCAUCUUUGGAUUGUGGAAUUUUUUUUUUCUUGGAUAGUAUUUGUGCUUUUCUAUGUCUUCCUCCAUGAGAAUGUGCUAUGUGGAUUCCCAUGAAGAAAUGCUUUUUAAUGGAAUAAACCGGAAGCAGAAGUAGAUUCUAAUUUAGGCUCUAUCCAACAGUAGUUACAGUGGCUUGGUAAAUUAUUUAAUCUCCCUAAGCUUCCAUUUAUGUCUGUAAAGUGAGGGCUGAUAGCAUCGAACUUGCUGGAGGGCUGGGAUAUGCAGAUCUUGCAUUUCAGAAGCCAGCAGAAUCGCCAACAUACAUUAGACAGUUAAUAAAUAGCACUUGUUGAAAUUAUGACUUGGUUUAGAGAUGAUUAUAAGCUGGAAAAAGUAAUUUCUCUCACUUGACUAAUUCAUCUCUUAUCUUUUAUGGUUCAAUCCAACACUUUAUAGAAAAACAAUGUUUCAAACUCCAACUCAUUUUGCAGAUCUUGUGAUUCUUUUCAAUGAGGAGACUUAACAGCUUUAUAUAAAUCUAAUCAUUAAGCAUGAUAAUUGAUGUUCUGUUUCACAUGUCUGAUAGUUAAACGUUUUUUGCACAUAAUUGUAUACACAUCAAUGUCAUUUGCACGACACUGUACAACAAUUGCAAUACACUCAAAUCGCAUACCCGCUUCCCAACCAUUAGAUGGUUCUUAAAAAUACACAAUGAGAUUUCCUUAAGGAAAAUCUUCUUACAAUAGAAUUUGUAGAAGCAGACGGAUGAGACAGCUCGGCAGGUGAAAGUGCGAGCUUGGCUGCUUGAGUUUGAUCCAUUUAACUCGGAAGGAAAGAACUGAUUUCCGCACACGUGGUCCGAAAGAAGAGGAGAGACAGGAGGAGAGAACUGAGUUUCGCACACGUGGCCUUUCAGGGUGUACUCACGUCAGACCUAGCUCACGUCACACACGUCUCUCUCCCUCAUCCAUAUAACACAUAAAAAAAUCUAGAAACAUUUUUAUCUAAGUCUUUUUUUAAUUUUAAAUGUUUCCCUGGGUAUAUACUAAUCAAAAUGAGUUAGUUUGUCAAAAGGCAGAUUGGUGCAGAUGUCCUCUAUGAAGUAGACUACGUCAUGCUAAUAGCACGAGAAUACCUGCAAUUCAAAACGUGUGCCCAUGUGAGAGCGUGAGUGAGGUCACCACUGUUUGGGUUUCCGUUUUUUGAAUGUCAAGAAAUCUGUAUGUAAUUCUAAGCACUUUCACUGUUAGUUACAUUGUCUCGGCUGUGGUCUACCCUUUAUAACUUGAAGAAAGCCUUGAUUUAUACAGAUUUUUGAGAGAUAUUAAGAUUUGUAUUCCUGUGCAAUGCAAAUCAUUCCAGCUUCUUUCUGUCUGGCAUACAGUUUUUCAUUUCUCCCGUAGUUGGCCUCAUCUAUCUUGUUGAUGAUGUUUUUCAAUAAGUUCAUGUAAUGUUCCUCACUGAGAUGAGAAUUGUAGUUGUUAAAACUUUCCUUUAAAAUGUAACACUUUCCUAGCUUAUCUAGAACAAAAUCUAUGCUAUACAUUCUAGAAAGUAAAACUCCCCCUGCCCCCAUACUGAUUUCCAGCUGGUUUUUCUACUGGAAAACUACUUUCCACCGGUUUAAAAACAUUUAUUUUUGUUCCAAUUGACUUAUUAGUCUUAGUUAAAUUCUUACCCAGUGUCAUAGACUAUUUAGAAAUGUUGCUUAAUAAAGUGAUAGUAUUUUCCAAAGAGAUUUUACAAAUAGUGAGAAUAUAAUUUUAUUAUUAGAAAUGCCUAUUUUUAGCGCUGUACUAAAUAAGAAAUGAGUUCCUAAGUCCCUACACUAAAAACUUUCCAUGCUAUACUAAAUAAACUAUUUAAAUCCCUGAAGUAAUAGUUUUUGAAUGGAGAAAAAAACCAGCUUCAAUGUUGUAGGAAAACUCACCAGGCUCACCCAGGACAUUCCUGGAGACAAGCAAAUACUGUCUGCUGAUUAUAGCACUCGGCUUUCUCGUCUUCUUUUGGUAAGCACAUUUCCCUUUAAACACAUGCAUUAGAUUACAGAUUAUCUUCUCCUCAUUAUGAAGACAGAGUUGCCACUGUUAGUCCACAGGAGCUGAUGGUCCUCAAUUUCUAAUAAGACAUAAAUGAAAUUGCAUAGCAUGACUUCACUGAACUUCGUCUUUUGCUCAGCAAUGCUGGCAUUUUCUCAGCACCUGUGGCUCCUUCCUGAGCCCCACGCCUCUCUCUUCUGUCUGCACCUCCCUGCACUCUGGUCAGGUGCACUCCUUAGGCCACUGGUGUGGCUUGUUUUAACAAGAGUCACUUAACAAUGAUUGGAACACUGCCACUCAGCCUUUUGGCUCAGAGCAAGGGCUGCUUCUAUUUCAGUAAAGUGUGAAUGGAUGGAUAGGCUCAGGUAGCCUGCUGUGUUUCCCCUGGGCGCACAGUGCCAACGUGCCUUCUAGUUUGUUGCUUCAACAGUUCUUAGGAAUGUGUCUGUUCAUAUUAUCAACACCUGCAUCUCAGAGAAGACGUAAAAGAGGGAAGAGAGAGCAAGGGCUUCCAGAAGUCACCAACACCCCUUUUGUGUCCCUGUAAAUUUGCUAACGUGGUCUAUAUUAGUAGGAAGAGAAACUGGAAAAUUGACUCCAGUGAUCCUGUGCUCAGUUAAAACUCAGCGCCAAAGCCCCUCCAUAGCACAUGCGAGGCCCUGAGACAGGUCUUUAGCCAUAAGAUGGGAGUAACAAAAGAAUUGAAGAGCUGCACACACAGGCUGAGGCGAGGGCUCCGUGGCAGGUGUGCAAGUGUGAGCAGGUGUGCAAGUGUUACAUCUGUGUUUGGAUUCCCAGAGCCCUGGGUAGAGCUGGUGUGGUGGCGUGUCCGUAGUCCUAGCAGUUCAAGGGCAGGAUGGGAGGCUGACACAGGAGGAGGUCCUCAAGCAGAGUUAGCUUCUCUCCCCUCUGGGGUCCAUAUGAACGAUAAUUAACUUUUGCCUACUUUUCUCUCUUGGAGGCAAGUGGCCCUAUCUUCUUGCGGAUCACUACUUAACUUCCUACUUCUAUGGGCACCCCCUUUUAGCCUCAGGCACCAUUUGUCAUUGAUUUUUAUACUUGGAGGUGAGGUUCGACUCUCACUUUGCUCUCCAAACACAUAUACCCUUUGUAGUCUCUAGCCACUGGAUAUUUUUAGUAAUUUUAUCUAUCUCACUAUUUGUGCUAUGUUUAAAUACGCAGGACAAUAUAAAUGUUUAUUUAGACAUUCCUGCUUUUAACAGAUCAUUAUUGUUACCUAAUAUCUACGUACUUAAUCACCAAAUUCAACUCAAACUUGACUUACACUGUACAGAUCCCCUUUCGGUAUGUUUAAACACAGACUAGGUGUAAAUUACAUCUCUCAGAAGAAAAGCACCCUCUGGAGAGUGCUGGCAUGGCUGCUCAGUAAAGCAGCUCUGUAAGUCUCCCCUCUUUCUAAGAUCUCUGUGUUCUUCAACAUCCCUCUUCUGCUUGCUUUUAUUGGCCUCGUUUCUUCUCGUUCACUGUGCUCAUCACAUCUCUAAUGAUUCUUGGCUGUCUGCUAAUUUUAAGAUGCUCCAGUAAGAGCCUCAGUGCAUGUCUGGGAAAUACGUGGAAUGGACACUGGAGCCAGGGACGUCUAUGGCGUGAAGCCAUUGCUGACUGGCAGCCAACACGGAACAUAAACCAGAAACCCGUCUCUGUUGGUGUAAAUCGCUGUGACUUGGGUGUUCUUUUAAACUCUAGCAUAACAUAGUUGAGAGACACGGGUUCUAGAACACUUUUUUGGUAAUCAGACUUGUAAAAACAUUAACUGUAUUUUAGGCAUAAUGUGUGUAUUUUAUAUUCUACUUAAUGAAUGCAUAUGGCUUCUCUCUCUUCCUUUCUUUCAUAAAUGGAAUCAUAUGAUAAUCACUCUUAUUAUUAUGCUUCUUUAGUUCAGCAUGACGUCUUGGAGGAUCACCUAUGCUGUGUAUAUUGAUGUAACUUGCCUUUUUCUACCGGAGCAUUAUUGUGCUGUAUGGAUACACAACUAGUUAUUUCACUCAUAUUACUAAAGAUUUUAAACCACCCACUGCCUCAUACCUAUGUUGAAGAUGAGAGUUGCAGUACUACUGUAUUUUAUGUUAUAAAAUGACACAAGUGUCUAAAGUUGAGAUAAUGCAUAAUGAAAUAAAUAUAACUUACUUUCUUGUUUCAUAGUAUCCAUGCCAUCCUGAUUAGUCCCAAGGUAUCAUCAACUGUUUAGGUGCACCUUAGCGAUGCUCCAAAUUGAAGCAUUGCCUUUCCCCCUAGAUUUACAUCCUUCUCUUGCUCUCCCUGUGUGCAGAAGAAGUGUUUUUAUUCAAUUAACUACAGAAGUGCGUUAGUCUCACAGACUUUUUUCCUACCCUUUUACCAACAGUCCUAGUCCAACACAUCUCGGGUUCACACACAGUCACUCUCUGUCUCUUCCUGUUCUCGUCCCGACAUCCCAACAUAAUUUAUUACUUCUUGGAUUAAAUAUGAAAAACUAUCAUUCAUCUAGAAACUCACAGGUUUCCUCUAGGCUUCAAGUGUCUUGUAUGUAAUAUUCUAUUGCCUUUUAAAUUUCUCUAGAAUUUUUAUUCAUGCUCUUUUUACACAUCUCACCUUAAUAUUGAGGCCAUUGUUUUCUUAACCAUGAGAAUUAAAAAAAAAACCCACAGAAAUAGGAAUGUCCUUUUGUUUGAAUUCUAGGUGUGGGGACGUGGAGCUGCUUCAGAGGGUCUACAGCAACUGACUAUGGUUUGCCUCGUGCUCCAUUGUGUGGGGUGAAUUGUUGGGUGAUCGCUGAUGGUCCCUGCUUAAGUAGUUGCAUACAAGAAAGAAACGAUGAGAAGAAAUUAGAUACCUGACAUCGAAGAUCAAACCAUGACCCUAAUCAACAGCACAUAGUUCAACGAUAAUGUUGCCCAUUUCUUUUCUACUCUUUUUCUCUCCUAUCCAAUGUUAGGGCUUGAAAGGUGAGAAAAGGGUGGGGAAGGGUAGAAGAAAGAACCCACCAAGUAGCAAAGACCAGCUACAGAGAACCCAUUCUAUGUACUCAGUGGUUCUCAACCAUCCUAAUGCUGUGAACUCUUAGUGCCGUUUCUCAUGUUUGGUGACCUCCAGCCACAAAAUUAUUUUCAUUGCUACUUCGAAACUGUAACUUUGCUACUGUUAUGAAUUAUAAUGUGAGGAUCUGUGUUUCCUGAUGGUCUUAGGUGCCCCCUGUGGAAGACCCCCAAAGGGAUAGCGACCCACAGGUUGAGAACUGCUGUAAUAGUCCCUUCAAUGGGCCAGGUCUUUAUAUUUAUGUUUUUCUCUCAUUUACUAAUUCCAUCUUUAAUCCCCCCCUAAGGUGCAGUUCAGAUCAUGCAGCUCCUUUCUCAGUCAGCCUUCAAUGGCUCCCCAUGGUCCUCUGAAUUAAGUGUACACUCCUUAGAGAGGUACUCAGGGCUCUGAGGAGAUGUGCACUGAAUGAAGUUUUUCUUCUUUGUCACAGAAGGAGAGCUAGAGUUCUGUGGAGAAGAAAACCAUGUCUGCACACCAGCCCGUAAUCUGUUUAGCUAUGUUAUACAACACCUUUUAUGUUUAACAUCGGGGGCAGAUCCCUGACCUCUGGCAAGCCUGUGAAAUAGACCUUGCCUUCCUGAAAGUUGGGGAUAUAAAUAAUAUUUAUAUAUAAGGUCUGCAAUAUCACAGGAUCACUUUCAUGAGCUGUAAUUAAAUAGGACCCUUGCCAUAAAUUCCUUAGCCCUUGAUGCCGCACAACAGCUGGUGACCUUAGUUUUUAAGUGUUUUGGGGGAUGAGGGAAGAAAAAGUGAGGGUCAUUAGUGAGGUCUAGCCUCUGAGGCUUUUGUGAAUAUUUGGGUUUAGUGUGCACCCCCACCCCCUAACGGAAGGACAUCUGUUCCUUCUGUCUGUAGCUGUUGACAAUGGCAUUGAAAGCAGCCUAAAUGAAUGGAUCUUACCAGCCCUGGCCUAUUAUUUGAUUGACAGGACUUAACGGAUACAAUUUUUCCCUUCCCACAGAAACAUUCUCAACAGGCUGCUAGAUUUUUUUUGUUGCUGUUUCCCUUUCUGUGAGGGGGACAAGCCACAUUCAAAGGAAUGUGAUGGCAGCCUUACCUACGGGCUUGUGGAUUUUCCUGAGAAGGCCACACCACGCAGCAUAUGUCAUAUCCCACACUGUGUUCCCAGGUCCCUUUAUGGGUUGCUAGACAUAGCAGGUAACCAGCAGCCGCCUAUGAUGUUGAAGAGAUUUAUUGAUGAGAAUGUGAUGUUGAACGGGGGUGAACUCAGGAGGUAGAAUGCUCUGUGGAGAUUCAGAUGGUGGACCAUAGGGCAAGGCCCUUAUUGGAGACUGUGGAGAGCAAGGUCAAGGGUUCUUAACAAACUUUAGAAAUUAAAUGUUGUAUGUGAUUUUUUUUUGUGUGAUCACAAAAUGAAGAGAAAUUCAGCAUAACAUUUUAGGUCAAAAUGAAAAUAAAAUGUAUCCAAGUGCAAGAGAAAAUGGCAAAAAAUUUAUGUUAUUUAUUUAUUUAUUUAUUUAUUUAUUUAUUUAUUUAUUUAUUGCUACUGUCCACAUGUAUACUUAACAAAAGCAUAAUGUUAUUGGGUGGUUUCUUUAGAAGUGUUAAGGCGUCUUAAAAACUAGUUGUAAGGGGUUGGGGAUUUGGCUCAGUGGUAGAGCGCUUGCCUAGGAAGCGCAAGGUCCUGGGUUCGGUACCCAGCCCCGAAAAAAAAAAAAAAAAAGAAAAAAAGAAAAGAAAAAAAAACUAGUUGUAAAUGUUUCAGUAUUCGAUACACUGUCUACACCAUCUUUCUGUGUCUGGACAGAUUUGUGACUUGUUGGUUUCCAAUAGAAUGUGUGCCCAAAUGAUUUUAUGGGACUAAUAGGUCAAAAAAAAGUAAGGUUCUGACUCUGCCUUGUUCUCUCUUGUGCUUGUGCUGGGGCUCCCAGUUACCAGGCAAGUCCAGCAAUGGGAAACUCCCAUGUUGUGAAGAAGCCCACACUAUAAGAACAGGGAUGACUCCCAGGAGUCAUCACGAGCACCCAGCACAGGAUGGCCUAUGGCCAGUCACAACCCCAUCUCCAGUGUUAUAUCUGUUGAUGACUGCAGGAUCUUCCAGGACAACAACCCAGCUGAUUUUCUCUUGGAUUCCUGACCUAUACUUUUUUUUUGGAGAAAAGUAAGAUAAAAAUAAGUAAGAUAGUUUGUUAUGCAACAAUAGUUACCAGAAUGCAUGUUUAAAACAUAAAAAGUUGCCAGCACAUUGUUACUUUACCUUCCAGCUAGAUCUUUAGUCAAUAGAGCCAAGGUGAAAUGCAUGAGCAUAUCUAUGAUUUAUUUCUUCAUCUUAUUUUAUGUACUUGGAAGUUCAGUCUAUACUUAUGUCUGUGCACCUCGUAUUUGUAGUACCGGAGAAGGUCAGAAGAGGACAUCAGAUACCCUGAGACUGGAGUUGCAGAUGGCUGUCGUUGCUGGGGAUCAAACCCAGGUCCUCUGGGAGAGCCGUCAGUGCUCUGAACUGCUGAGCCAUCUCUCCAGUUUAUUUCUUAAGACAGCAGGAUGAAAUGAAGACUUAAGAAGGAACAGCUUGGGCUGGAGAGAUGGCUCAGUGGUUAAGAGCUCUGACUGCUCUUCCAGAGGUCCUGAGUUUAAUUCCCAGCAACCACAUGGUGGCUCACAACCAUCUGUAAUAGGAUCUGAUGCCCUUUUCUGGUGUGUCUGAAGAGAGUGUACUCAAAUAAUUAAAUAAAUAAAUCUUGAAAGCAAAACAAA